rnacentral:hammerhead_ribozyme from 1 species
AAACUGCUGAGGAGUCCCACAAUAGGACGAAACGGCCGUCAAGUGC